ACAAUGGAGAGUUUGAUCCUGGCUCAGGAUGAACGCUAGCGGCAGGCUUAAUACAUGCAAGUUGAACGGGAUUUAUUGAGUAGCAAUACUUGGUAAUGAGAGUAGCGCACGGGUGCGUAACACGUAUGCAACCUACCUUUAACCGGGACAUAACCUCUAGAAAUGGAAGCUAAUAUCCCAUGUGAUUACCGGGGGGCAUCUUUUGGUAAUUAAAAUUCAGAUGGUUAAAGAUGGGCAUGCGUCCCAUUAGCUAGUUGGCGGGGUAACGGCUCACCAAGGCGACGAUGGGUAGGGGUUCUGAGAGGAUGAUCCCCCACACUGGUACUGAGACACGGACCAGACUCCUACGGGAGGCAGCAGUAAGGAAUAUUGGUCAAUGGACGCAAGUCUGAACCAGCCAUGCCGCGUGCAGGAAGACGGCCCUAUGGGUUGUAAACUGCUUUUGUACGGGAAGAACUACAUUUACGAGUAAAUGUUUGACGGUACCGUAAGAAUAAGGAUCGGCUAACUCCGUGCCAGCAGCCGCGGUAAUACGGAGGAUCCGAGCGUUAUCCGGAUUUAUUGGGUUUAAAGGGUGCGCAGGCGGGUAUAUAAGUCAGAGGUGAAAUUCCAGGGCUCAACCUUGGGACUGCCUUUGAUACUGUAUGUCUAGAGUAUAGUUGGAGUGGGCGGAAUGUAGCAUGUAGCGGUGAAAUGCUUAGAUAUGCUACAGAACACCGAUCGUGAAGACAGCUCACUAAGCUAUAACUGACGCUCAGGCACGAAAGCAUGGGGAGCAAACAGGAUUAGAUACCCUGGUAGUCCAUGCCGUAAACGAUGAUUACUCGCUGUUAGCGAUACACAGUUAGCGGCUAAGCGAAAGUGAUAAGUAAUCCACCUGGGGAAUACGAUCGCAAGAUUGAAACUCAAAGGAAUUGACGGGGGCCCGCACAAGCGGAGGAGCAUGUGGUUUAAUUCGAUGAUACGCGAGGAACCUUACCUGGGCUCGAACGUAGUUGGACUAUGGGUGAAAGCCUGUAUUUCUUCGGAACUGACUACGAGGUGCUGCAUGGUUGUCGUCAGCUCGUGCCGUGAGGUGUUAGGUUAAGUCCUGCAACGAGCGCA
rnacentral:rRNA from 1 species